rnacentral:rRNA from 1 species
UGAACGCUGGCGGCAGGCCUAACACAUGCAAGUCGAACGGCAGCACAGAAGAGCUUGCUCUUUGGGUGGCGAGUGGCGGACGGGUGAGUAAUGUCUGGGAAACUGCCCGAUGGAGGGGGAUAACUACUGGAAACGGUAGCUAAUACCGCAUAACGUCGCAAGACCAAAGUGGGGGACCUUCGGGCCUCACACCAUCGGAUGUGCCCAGAUGGGAUUAGCUAGUAGGUGGGGUAAUGGCUCACCUAGGCGACGAUCCCUAGCUGGUCUGAGAGGAUGACCAGCCACACUGGAACUGAGACACGGUCCAGACUCCUACGGGAGGCAGCAGUGGGGAAUAUUGCACAAUGGGCGCAAGCCUGAUGCAGCCAUGCCGCGUGUAUGAAGAAGGCCUUCGGGUUGUAAAGUACUUUCAGCGGGGAGGAAGGCGGUGAGGUUAAUAACCUCGCCGAUUGACGUUACCCGCAGAAGAAGCACCGGCUAACUCCGUGCCAGCAGCCGCGGUAAUACGGAGGGUGCAAGCGUUAAUCGGAAUUACUGGGCGUAAAGCGCACGCAGGCGGUCUGUUAAGUCAGAUGUGAAAUCCCCGGGCUUAACCUGGGAACUGCAUUUGAAACUGGCAGGCUUGAGUCUCGUAGAGGGGGGUAGAAUUCCAGGUGUAGCGGUGAAAUGCGUAGAGAUCUGGAGGAAUACCGGUGGCGAAGGCGGCCCCUGGACGAAGACUGACGCUCAGGUGCGAAAGUGUGGGGAGCAAACAGGAUUAGAUACCCUGGUAGUCCACGCCGUAAACGAUGUCGACUUGGAGGUUGUGCCCUUGAGGCGUGGCUUCCGGAGCUAACGCGUUAAGUCGACCGCCUGGGGAGUACGGCCGCAAGGUUAAAACUCAAAUGAAUUGACGGGGGCCCGCACAAGCGGUGGAGCAUGUGGUUUAAUUCGAUGCAACGCGAAGAACCUUACCUGGCCUUGACAUCCAGAGAACUUAGCAGAGAUGCUUUGGUGCCUUCGGGAACUCUGAGACAGGUGCUGCAUGGCUGUCGUCAGCUCGUGUUGUGAAAUGUUGGGUUAAGUCCCGCAACGAGCGCAACCCUUAUCCUUUGUUGCCAGCGGUUCGGCCGGGAACUCAAAGGAGACUGCCGGUGAUAAACCGGAGGAAGGUGGGGAUGACGUCAAGUCAUCAUGGCCCUUACGGCCAGGGCUACACACGUGCUACAAUGGCGCAUACAAAGAGAAGCGACCUCGCGAGAGCAAGCGGACCUCAUAAAGUGCGUCGUAGUCCGGAUUGGAGUCUGCAACUCGACUCCAUGAAGUCGGAAUCGCUAGUAAUCGUAGAUCAGAAUGCUACGGUGAAUACGUUCCCGGGCCUUGUACACACCGC